rnacentral:misc_RNA from 1 species
UGGCUGUAUCUCGUUAAACUAAUUCAAAUUGCGCUGCUCCGCCCUGUAAAUGACGCAACGAGUGCGCGCCACUGGAUUUUUGCCACGGCAAAUUGUCAAGCCGAACUACCCGCUCGCGUAGAAUCGCGGUCGUCAUACCGAAUUUACGUUUAUACGACGUUUCGCUAUUGUCGAAUCGUGCGAGAGUUGCGCGCAAAGAAGCUUAAAAGAUUAAGCUUACGGUAUAAUACACGACGCAAUUAAUUUGCAUACCUCACCCAUACCCUUUCUAUCGUACGAACUAUUUCAUCCACGUACGUAUAGGUACAGCGACGUGCAAAAGUUCAGGAU